rnacentral:hammerhead_ribozyme from 1 species
AUACAGCUGACGAGUCCCAGGUAGGAAGAAAUGCGCAUCCUGUAU